CGGUAAUUCCAGCUCCAAUAGCGUAUACUAAAGUUGUUGCAGUUAAAAAGCUCGUAGUUGGAUUUCUGCGGGGACGGAGCGGCCGGACGCAACUUGCGUCUCGAGCUAGCGCUUUCCCCACAUCCUGCCGCGAACCGUGCUACCAUUAGCUUGGUGGCGCUGGGGAUCGGCUCGAUUACUUUGAGAAAAAUAGAGUGUUCAAAGCAGGCCACACGCCUUGAAUAAGUUAGCAUGGAAUAAUGACUAAGGACUUCGGUUCUAUUUUGUUGGUGUUCGGGACUGAAGUAAUGAUUGAUAGGGACAGUUGGGGCGGUCUGUAUUCCAAAGCGAGAGGUGAAAUUCUUAGACCUUCGGAAGACAAACAGCUGCGAAAGCGUUCCGCAAGGAUGUUCCCUUUGAUCAAGAACGAAAGUUGGGGGAUCGAAGACGAUCAGAUACCGUCGUAGUCUCAACUAUAAACUAUACCAGCUAGGGAUCGGUCAACGUUUAACUUUAUCGACUUGGUCGGCACCUUAUGAGAAAUCAAAGCAUCUGGGUUCCGGGGGGAGUAUGGUCGCAAGGCUGAAACUUAAAGGAAUUGACGGAAGGGCACCACCAGGCGUGGAGCCUGUGGCUUAAUUUGACUCAACACGGGAAAACUUACCAGGUCCAGACAUAGGAAGGAUUGACAGAUUGAUAGCUCUUUCUUGAUUCUGUGGGUGGUGGUGCAUGGCCGUUUUUAGUCGGUGAAGUGAUUUGUCUGCUUAAUUGCGUUAACGGACGAGACCCCAGCCUGCUAAAUAGCGCGGCCGAGCUUUGCUCGGUACGAGCUUCUUAGAGGGACCAUGAUGCGCGAUAGCACAAGGAAGUUUGGGGCAACAACAGGUCUGUGAUGCCCUCAGAUGUUCUGGGCCGCACACGGGCUACACUGGCGCCUGCAACGAGCAUAUCAGCUGGCCCGAGAGGGUCUUGGCUAAUCUUUGGAACCGGCGCCGUGCUUGGGAUUGACCAUUGCAAUUGUUGGUCAUGCAACGGGGAAUGCCUUGUAAACGCGAGUCAUCAGCUCGCAUUGAAUACGUCCCUGCCCUUUGUACACACCGCCC
rnacentral:rRNA from 1 species